UACGUAGGGGGCUAGCGUUGUUCGGAAUUACUGGGCGUAAAGCGCGUGUAGGCGGCUUUGCAAGUCGGAUGUGAAAGCCCUCGGCUCAACCGAGGAAGUGCGUUCGAAACUGCAGAGCUUGAGUGCCGGAGAGGGUGGCGGAAUUCCCCAAGUAGAGGUGAAAUUCGUAGAUAUGGGGAGGAACACCGGUGGCGAAGGCGGCCACCUGGACGGUCACUGACGCUGAGACGCGAAAGCGUGGGUAGCAAACAGG
rnacentral:rRNA from 1 species